GGCGAACGGGUGAGUAACACGUGAGUAACCUGCCCUUGACUUUGGGAUAACUUCAGGAAACUGGGGCUAAUACCGGAUAGGAGCUCCUGCUGCAUGGUGGGGGUUGGAAAGUUUCGGCGGUUGGGGAUGGACUCGCGGCUUAUCAGCUUGUUGGUGGGGUAGUGGCUUACCAAGGCCUUGACGGGUAGCCGGCCUGAGAGGGUGACCGGCCACAUUGGGACUGAGAUACGGCCCAG
rnacentral:rRNA from 1 species